CAAGAUGGUAGUUUAAUUAAAAUGUUGGCAUUGGAAGCUAAUGAUUGGGUAGAUUUAUAAUCCCAUCUCUUGA
rnacentral:tRNA from 1 species